rnacentral:lncRNA from 1 species
AAUUAUUAAGCUCUUAAGUUUUAUUAUUGUGUAAAAAGACCAAAAAAAAAAAAAUCAUCCAACUUAAUACUUAACCCUAAUACACGCAUCUCAUCACUCUUCAUAUUAAAUUUCUUCUCCCAUCUUUUACUCAACUUUCUUCUCCCGUCACUGCUGUCCGUGUCACUAUCGGUAUCAGCAUCAACAUCAGCUUUUGCCUUGGUAGCAUAUUCUAGUUUCUGCUCCCAUUUCAAAAGGGCUUCUUUCUUCUCAAAGCUCUUUUCUUCUUCUACUCAAACUUUAUUUCC